rnacentral:rRNA from 1 species
AACGUAGGAGACAAACGUUAUCCGGAGUUACUGGGCGUAAAGGGCGUGUAGGUGGUUUUGUAAGUCUGGCGUGAAAUUUUUCGGCUUAACCGGGAAAGGUCGUCGGAUACUGCAAGGCUAGAGGACGGUAGAGGCGUGUGGAAUUCCGGGUGUAGUGGUGAAAUGCGUAGAGAUCGGGAGGAACACCAGUGGCGAAGGCGGCCUUCUGGACCAGCACUGACACUCAAGCACGAAAGCGUGGGGAGCAAACAGG